CGGGUCAAACGGAUCAUGGAUGCGAAGAAUGUUUGCGCGAACGCGAGAAGUGAACGGGAAGUGGAUUAUUGCGUUGCUAUAAAGUAGCGGCUAAUAAAAGAAAGGUACAAAACGGGUCUAUAUGUUGACUCGAGCCAGGUACGCAUUAAUUAGAUCAUGGCGAUAUGCGUAGUUGAAUUUUAGAAUAUAAGUUACUAUGAAAUAUAGCGAUGAUAUCGCUACAUUGAAUAUUUGGUCAAAAGAUGGUUAGAGCUCGUUGGUAGUCGUCAAAAAGGAAGGAAUUCCGUAGACGAGCCAAACGGGUCGAAUAAUCAAGUAAGGCAUGGUUAUUGUUUCGGAUUAUGAUGGUUUGAUGGUUGAUUUUGAAUAUUUUAUAACAUAUUAGAAAUAUGAGGUUUUAACGAAUUAGUAUCAUAGAAAACUGAAAACCGAGAGUUGGGUCUUGGAGUAAUGAUCAAACAAAACAAAACCUGACAUUCCAGGUACUACCGUAAAUUACGGUAGAACCGUAAAUUACGGUGGUUGUGAUAUGGUUUACGGAGCAGAUCUCCUGGUUUACGGUGACCAGACACUUCCAGGUCUCACCGUAAAUUACGGUGAUACCGUAAUUUACGGUGGAUUCAGAAUCACUUUUUAUAUUUUUGUUAUUUAUAAUGUGGCAUUAAGCCUUGGGAUUAUAUUAUUAUAUAUCAACGUCAAAACUAAUGAUUUUAACGGUUUUGAUCAUAGGAGAAUGCCAAGAGUGCCCGGAUGAAGAUCAAGCUCGAUGAGGAACCGAACACAAUAAAAUCUAACACUCGGGAUUAAAGCUUCCGCACGGCGUUACGCCAUAUCUUUUAAACAACGAACUUAUCUAUAUUAUGUUGAAAACUUUUAAGUUGUAAAAGUUUUAGAUUACUUGUAUUUUCUAAGAAUACUUAAUCAAAUUUCAUGUUUAUUUUCGUUAUUUAUACGAAAACUAUAAAAAUU
rnacentral:lncRNA from 1 species